rnacentral:lncRNA from 1 species
AAGAUUUAAGGUUCCACCAAAUGGAGCGAGAGGCCCUCACAGAGGAGAGGCCCCUCAUGGCUGCUGAGCGUUAAGCAUAUAUGCAGCAUCAAGAAAUACAGCCGCAAAUCUUGAAAGGUUAGUUAAUUUGGGUUUAAUUGCACAAAAGUGCCAGAGGCUGUGCUAUGAGUCCCGGUCUAAACAGGAGUAUGAAAUUGACAGCCGUUGCCUUCAAAUUAAGGGGAGACGCGGGUCGAAAAGUCGCAGUUUUCCGGAAAAUUUUCGCUUUUUUUUUCCGGUUGUAUUGGCAUCCUUGGAUUAUAAUCUUUUACUUCUGAAAAUAUCAAGCUGAAAUUCGCGCGAGAAAUUAUCUAAAAAUGCUUCCAAGUGGGCAGCGGUGACGUGAGAAAUGCGCAAAAGUCGCCAAAAAUGGCGUAGUUCGCGUCGUCCUGUCGAAAAAACAAUGCGUUGGCCGCCAUUUGCAAUCGUGCACACAUGCUGCGAAGGCCGUCCCCUUCACAAUCCAUUAGUAGCCAGUCUCGUAGCUUCACGCAGAAUAAACAAAAAACAAGAAAAACAAUGCAUACGUCACGCGUUUUGAAUAUCGCGGCAAACAGUGCGAGGCCGCCAUUGGACGGCGGUGCGCUCCACCCCCUCCCCCUCCUAUCUCUCCGGCAAAAGAGCGAAGCCUCGGACGUCGCGAUCGAGUUGUUCUGCGUUUCUCUGCAUUUUUGCGUCGUGGCAAGCCCCAAGAAGCGCAGUCUAGAUAAUCGAAAGUUCAGAACUCGCCACAAGUAUCGAGGGAAACGGCGUCGGACGCUUCCCAAAGCGACAGCGAACGACGAUGUCACCCCCGACCAAAGCCCCGACGCUCCGACUUCGGAUAGGCCUAACACCGACACUGAACACCGCGACAGUGGUUGUGAAAUAGCCGCUGCCGUGGAAUUCGUCAGUGCAUCCCAAAGGAAGAUUGGAUUCUUCGAGAGUGAACGUAGACCAGUAGAUGCUGCUACUGCCAACACGCUGCUUUGCGAAAUCGAUGCGCUGACGGUACUUGUGGCGGG